UCAAAAACAUGGCUUUUUGAUAAUAAUUUAAAGUCAGGCCUGCCCACUGAUGAUUAAAGGGCCGCGGUAAUUUGACCGUGCUAAGGUAGCAUAAUCAUUAGUUUCUUAAUUAGAAGCUAGAAUGAAUGGUUUAAUGAAAAAAUAACUGUCUCUAUUUAAAUUUAUUAGAAUUUUAUUUUUAAGUUAAAAAGCUUAAAUAAUUUUAAAAGACGAGAAGACCCUAUAGAGUUUAAUAUUUUAUUAAUAUUUUUAUAUUGGAAUAUAGGGUAUUUUAUUAAGAAAAAUAUUUGGUUGGGGUGAUUAAAAAAUUGAAUAAACUUUUUUUAUUUAAAAUCAUUAAUUUAUGAUUAAUUGAUCCAUUAUUAGUGAUUAUAAGGAAAAAUUACCUUAGGGAUAACAGCGUAAUUAUUUUUGAGAGUUCUUAUCGAAAAAAUAGAUUGCGACCUCGAUGUUGGAUUAAAAUUAAUUUUUGGUGUAGCCGCUAAAAAAUUAGGUCUGUUCGACCUUUAAAAUUUUACAUGAUCUGA
rnacentral:rRNA from 1 species